UCGGCUUAGAGUUUGAUCAUGGCUCAGGAUGAACGCUGGCGGCGUGCUUAACACAUGCAAGUCGAGCGAAGCCUUCGGGUUGAGCGGCGGACGGGUGAGUAACGCGUGGGUAACCUGCCUCAUACAGGGGGAUAACAGUUAGAAAUGACUGCUAAUACCGCAUAAGCGCACAGCUGCAUGGCCAGUGUGAAAAACUCCGGUGGUAUGAGAUGGACCCGCGUCUGAUUAGGUAGUUGGUAGGGUAACGGCCUACCAAGCCGACGAUCAGUAGCCGACCUGAGAGGGUGACCGGCCACAUUGGGACUGAGACACGGCCCAAACUCCUACGGGAGGCAGCAGUGGGGAAUAUUGGACAAUGGGGGAAACCCUGAUCCAGCGACGCCGCGUGACUGAAGAAGUAUUUCGGUAUGUAAAGGUCUAUCAGCAGGGAAGAAAAUGACGGUACCUGACUAAGAAGCCCCGGCUAACUACGUGCCAGCAGCCGCGGUAAUACGUAGGGGGCAAGCGUUAUCCGGAUUUACUGGGUGUAAAGGGAGCGUAGACGGCGAUGCAAGUCUGAAGUGAAAGCCCGGGGCUCAACCCCGGGACUGCUUUGGAAACUGUGUUGCUGGAGUGCAGAGAGGUAAGUGGAAUUCCUAGUGUAGCGGUGAAAUGCGUAGAUAUAGGAGGAACACCAGUG
rnacentral:rRNA from 1 species